rnacentral:ribozyme from 1 species
AAGGAGAGAGAGAAAAAAAAACAAAAGCCAGAAAUUGGAAAUCCACAACGUGAACAGACUAAAUACUAUUGUUCAUUCUAUCCC